rnacentral:rRNA from 1 species
UUGGAGGGCAAGUCUGGUGCCAGCAGCCGCGGUAAUUCCAGCUCCAAUAGCGUAUAUUAAAGUUGUUGCAGUUAAAAAGCUCGUAGUUGAAUUUCGGGGUUAGUAGGUUGGUCGUGCCUCAGGUAUGUACUGAUCUCACUGAUUCCUCCUUCCUGAUGAACCGUAAUGCCAUUAAUUUGGUGUUGCGGGGAAACUGGACUGUUACUUUGAAAAAAUUAGAGUGUUUAAAGCAGGCUAACGCUUGAAUACAUUAGCAUGGAACAAUGAAAUAGGACGUUCGAUCCUAUUUUGUUGGUUUCUAGGAUUGACGUAAUGAUUAAUAGGGAUAGUUGGGGGCAUUAGUAUUCAAUUGUCAGAGGUGAAAUUCUUGGAUUUAUUGAAGACUAACUACUGCGAAAGCAUUUGCCAAGAAUGUUUUCAUUAAUCAAGAACGAAAGUUAGGGGAUCGAAGACGAUCAGAUACCGUCGUAGUCUUAACCAUAAACUAUGCCGACUAGGGAUCGGAUGAUGUUAAUUUUUUAAUGACUCAUUCGGCGCCUUACGGGAAA